GGGCACUUCUGUAGUAACUCUGGGUGAUGGAGCGGAACCUCUCCUGGCCUGCCGUGUCCCAGAUCUGCAGCUAUAGACAACAUGUACACAUGUAACAUGUUAGGUUAGGGCACAUGUAACAUGUUAGGUUAGGGCACUUCUGUAGUAACUCUGGGUGAUGGAGCGGAACCUCUCCUGGCCCGCUGUGUCCCAGAUCUGCAGCUGUAGACAACACGUACACAUGUAACAUGUUAGGUUAGGGCACAUGUAACAUGUUAGGUUAGGGCACAUGUAACAUGUUAGGUUAGGGCACUUCUGUAGUAACUCUGGGUGAUGGAGCGGAACCUCUCCUGGCCCGCUGUGUCCCAGAUCUGCAGCUGUAGACAACACGUACACAUGUAACAUGUUAGGUUAGGGCACAUGUAACAUGUUAGGUUAGGGCACUUCUGUAGUAACUCUGGGUGAUGGAGCGGAACCUCUCCUGUCCUGCCGUGUCCCAGAUCUGCAG